UGUGGCUGCAUCUGGAGUUCCUGAUGACCAUCAUGGGGCCAUGGCAUGUCAGCAAUGGGAUGACUGCAGAACCAGCGAGGAAAUGCAUGGUGUUUUGGCAUCUGUAAUGGAAAAAGAGCAAUAUUCAGCAUCUCCAGGUUUCCAUUUAUUCCAAACCUCUGAGGUCAGUGAUGAAAAUAGUGUGGCAGUGUACUGGGAGCCUCAGCACCAGUGGUAGUUGUGGCUCCUGACGAGGACAAUCUACAAGGCAGCUGAACUGAACCCUGCGGUUGACUGAUGUUCUAAUGUUUUUAAAGUGUUGCAGAAAGGAUCUGAAAAUGGAGGAAUGAACUGGGCAGUAACCUCACCUCUGGGGCUCAGAAGCACUUUUUUCAAAUGUUAAAUGAAAUGCAGCCUUAUCUUGUAUCUCAAUCUGGUGAGGUGUUUCAAAUUCAAUAAACAUACCUGUCAGUGUAUAUGGACUCUACUUAUCAAAAUUAAGUUCCUUAGAGUUAUUAGCCUAAGAUGCAAUUAAUUUAAAUGUAAUCAAAUAAAAGACACUUUCUGAGCGUGUCUUGCAAGCCGAGAGAAGAGAAGCAGUAAAGGCAUGGAGGCCGGAACACGUCAGCCACAGCAGGUGAUACAGGUGGUGGGUUUGGGGGUGGUAAGGGUGGUUAGAGCCUGAUUCUAGAAGAGCUUGUAUAAUACAACUGGGCAUGUGCACAGGCUAAAUUUAAUCGCUCAUAAAUGAAUCUUGGAUUUGCAGGUGUCAUGAUGAAAGUCAUUCUUUAGGAUAAAUCAUCUAGCUAAAAUUGCAGUGAGGAGAGAGAAAAUGUAAGUAAGAAUACUGUACUUCUCUUAGGUGUAUGUUACAAAAAGUUGAUGUCUGUUGACAGUAGUAAUAUUGGUGUGUGCAUAUAUAUAUACUUCUUUGUAUAUAUGGGAGUGACCUGGGAGCUGGCCUGGCUCUUGCAGUGGGCCGUAGUGUUUGGUGUUGAGCAGAAGGAAUUUCACAUAACACAUUAGACAAGAGCACUCCAAACUGCCACGCAGCACAGCAAACAAUACCCACGUCACAGUGCGCCUGAAAACGUGUAAACAAGGAGUGUGCAAACCAGAAACAUUACUCAACACCCCUGUCUUAGUCAGUUUGACUAAUACCACAAACUGGGUGAUUUAUAUACAGCAGAGAUUUAUUUCUAAUCGUUCUGGAGGCUGAGUUCCAAGGUCAUGGUGCCAGCAGAUUUGGUGCCUGGUGAGGGCUCACUGCCUCGUAGAUUUUGUCUUCUAGUUGUCCACGUGGUGGAAGGGGAGAGAGAGGUUUCAGAGCCUCUUUUGUGAGGUCACUAGUCCCAUUCCGGACGGCUCUGCCCCAAUGACCUAGUUACCUCCCAAAGACCCUACCUCCUAAUACCAUCACUUUAGCAAUUAGAGUUCAACAUAUACAUUUUGAAAAGACACAAACAUUCAGAUGAUAGUCACCCUUUUCUGAGCUCUUAUGAACAACUGGUAUGUCUUCACCAACUGCAGUUUUAAUCCCAAUCCAUGUCUUCCACCUUUUAGAUAAUAAUUGUAUAGAUACCUUAUUAUGGAAACCCCCUACAGAGAGCGCCUUAUCUAGAGCAAAAUUACGAUUCCUGGAACCUUCACUCUGAUCCUCUAAUUUCAAGUCCAAAUUCUCUAACAAGCCCUUCCUAAUGGGCUGGACACCCGGUGGUUUCUGAUCAUGUGAAACCUCUGUUGUUACAUC
ensembl:lncRNA